rnacentral:rRNA from 1 species
UACGGGGGGAGCAAGCGUUGUUCGGAUUUACUGGGCGUAAAGGGCGCGUAGGCGGCGUGACAAGUCACUUGUGAAAUCUCCGGGCUUAACCCGGAGCGGUCAAGUGAUACUGUCGUGCUAGAGUGCGGAAGGGGCUACUGGAAUUCCCGGUGUAGCGGUGAAAUGCGCAGAUAUCGGGAGGAACACCGGUGGCGAAGGCGGUUCUCUGGGCCUGUACUGACGCUGAGGAGCGAAAGCGUGGGGAGCGAACAGG